CGUCGAAGAACUCGAACGUCUCCCGCAGCUCGGCGUCGUCGCAGGCCGGCCCGCACGCCGGACCCACCCGGCUCAGCAGCUCCUCGAUGCUCACGGCGGCGUCCUCCCCCUCGCCGUGGCACCCCACCUCGCUCAGCAUCACCGCCACCUCGUCCCGGCUGCCGAGCCGGCUGAGCAGGGCCUCGAGCUCCUUCCGCGAGAGGAUCCCGUCGCCGUCCCGGUCGAUGAGCCCGAACGCGCGGGCGAGCUCGAGGUUGCUGCCGGCCCAGACCCCGCCCCCGCCGCCGCCGCCGCCGCCGCCGCGGCCGAGGACGCUGGUCGGGGUCAGGGACUCGCCCUUGAGGACGGAGGAGGAGGAUUCGUCCGAGGAGGAGGAGGACGACGAGGCGGCGCCGAAGGAAGGCGUUUCGGAGCGGGACGCGACGGAUCGGCCCUUCCGGGACCCGAAGAGGUGCUUAGGGCUGAGCUUGAGCGCCUUGGAGGUGAUCUUGACGAGCCUCAUGGC
rnacentral:lncRNA from 1 species